rnacentral:rRNA from 1 species
UACGGGGGGAGCAAGCGUUGUUCGGAUUUACUGGGCGUAAAGGGCGCGUAGGCGGCGUGACAAGUCACUUGUGAAAUCUCCGGGCUUAACCCGGAGCGGCCAAGUGAUACUGUCGUGCUAGAGUGCGGAAGGGGCUACUGGAAUUCUCGGUGUAGCGGUGAAAUGCGUAGAUAUCAGGAGGAACACCAAUUGCGAAGGCAGCUCGCUGGGACGUUACUGACGCUGAGACGCGAAAGCGUGGGGAGCAAACAGG